ACGGAGUCAGUGUUAGGGGCCCCCAAGCAGGGUCUGGAAAAGGGGGAUGGGAUGUGGGUGUGAAGGGAUGCAACCCCCCCAAAAGAAAUCGAGG
ensembl:sRNA Gm56178 predicted gene, 27675